rnacentral:rRNA from 1 species
CAGCCGCCGCGGGAAUACGAAGGGGGCUAGCGUUGCUCGGAAUCACUGGGCGUAAAGGGUGCGUAGGCGGGUCUUUAAGUCAGGGGUGAAAUCCCAGAGCUCAACUCUGGAACUGCCUUUGAUACUGGGUAUCUUGAGUAUGGAAGAGGUGAGUGGAAUUCCGAGUGUAGAGGUGAAAUUCGUAGAUAUUCGGAGGAACACCAGUGGCGAAGGCGACUCUCUGGUCUGUAACUGACGCUGAGGAGCGAAAGCGUGGGGAGCGAACAGGAUUAGAUACCCGAGUAGUCCCUGUCUCUUAUAA